rnacentral:ncRNA from 10 species
ACCCAUCAUUAAGAGAGGACUGACGUCCCGCCAACCUGCCUUUUCCGGCAAGGUGGUAGCCUUAGUUAGGCGAUGAGACCCUUGGGUAACUAAUGGAUCAUCA